rnacentral:tRNA from 1 species
GCGGAAUCCGCCACUCUCAAAAGCAUCGAACCCCUAA